CGGCCAUGCAGUAGCUGGGAGAUAGCUAGCUACAGCGGUUAGUAGCUACAGGAGAGCAACCAGGAGGAGUGUUUUCAGACCAAUACAGGUGAACAGACUGAUGAGGAGUGUCUUCUGACCAAUACAGGGGAACAGACUGAUGAGGAGUGUCUUCUGACCAAUACAGGGGAACAGACUGAUGAGGAGUGUCUUCUGACCAAUACAGUUCAAGUGAAGAGGGAAGAUGCUGUUAGGAGGAGAGAUGCCAUUAUGACUGGGACAGGAUAUUGUACUCAAAAUGAUCCCAAGCUGGCUUGACUCCUAUUAGCCUUAGGUGGGCCACACAACAAACAGGACAGGGAAUCAUUGCUGUACUCAACAUGCUCCCUUUCAUAUAGCUGACAUCUUAAUACUUGUAAAGAGUCUCUGAUCAUAACAAGCUGUAUAUGACAAGAAUCAUUAUCACAGCCUUCACACACUGCAAACACACACACCCACACUAAAAGACAUGCUCACUGACAGAGAGAGAUCAUGCUAAUUCCUAAGACAAAACAUCACUUGCUCUGGGAUAAACAGCUUCAACAGAGAGAAACAGGCAAAUGUCCCCCACCAAUAACCAGAGGAACACUUCAGAUCUGUCAACAUCCACAUCCCUGCUGUCUCUAUCAUUAAAACAGGCCCUUGGUCUCUCUCUCUGUCUGUCUGUUCAUUGGUUCAUUAAGCAGCCUGAUGGCUGAGACCUUGUCAACUCACUGCUCAAUUAGCAUAUAUGAGCCUGCAACAAACCUUUAUCCAUGGACGGCAGGUACAUGUACACCUGUGCGGGCGGCAGGUACAUGUACACCUGUGCGGGCGGCAGGUACAUGUACACCUGUGCGGGCGGCAGGUACAUGUACACCUGUGCGGGCGGCAGUUACAUGUACACCUGUGCGGGCGGCAGGUACAUGUACACCUGUAUGGGCGGCAGAUAACCUAACGGUUAGAGCGUUGGGCCAAUAGCUGAAAGGUUGCUGGUUUGAACACCCUAGCCGACAAGGGGGGAAAUGUGUUGAUGUGCCCUUGAGCAAGGCACUUAACCCUAAUUUGCUCCGGGGGGGCUGUACUACUAUGGCUCACCUUGUAAAACAACACAUUUUACUGCACUUAUCUGGAUUAUGUGACAAUAAAACCUACUGCCAGAAACCUCCAUCCAAACUGGAUGCAGUAGCUACAGUACAACCUGUUUGUUCUAUCUACAUCAAUGUACAUAAAUCAAUAUUAUGUCUAUAUACAGUGUUGUAAUGAUGUGCAAAUAGUUAAAGUACAAAAGGGAAAAUAAAUAAACAUGGGCCGUAUUUACAA
ensembl:lncRNA